rnacentral:rRNA from 1 species
GAACGCGAAGAACCUUACCCGGGCUUGAAUUGCAGAGGAAGGAUUUAGAGAUAAUGACGCCCUUCGGGGUCUCUGUGAAGGUGCUGCAUGGUUGUCGUCAGCUCGUGCCGUGAGGUGUCGGCUUAAGUGCCAUAACGAGCGCAACCCCUCUCUUCAGUUGCCAUCAGGUUAAGCUGGGCACUCUGGAGACACUGCCACCGUAAGGUGUGAGGAAGGUGGGGAUGACGUCAAAUCAGCACGGCCCUUACGUCCGGGGCUACACACGUGUUACAAUGGCCGGUACAGAGGGAUGGUGUAAUGCAAAUUGCAUCAAAUCUUGAAAGCCGGUCCCAGUUCGGACUGGGGUCUGCAACCCGACCCCACGAAGCUGGAUUCGCUAGUAAUCGCGCAUCAGCCAUGGCGCGGUGAAUACGUUCCCGGGUCUUGUACACACC